UACGAAGGGGGCUAGCGUUGUUCGGAAUUACUGGGAGUAAAGCGCACGUAGGCGGACUCUUAAGUCAGGGGUGAAAUCCCGGGGCUCAACCUCGGAACUGCCUUUGAUCCUGUGAGUCUCGAGACCGGAAGAGGCGAGUGGAAUUCCUAGUGUAGAGGUGAAAUUCGUAGAUAUUAGGAAGAACACCAGUGGCGAAGGCGGCUCACUGGUCCGGUUCUGACGCUGAGGUGCGAAAGCGUGGGGAGCAAACAGG
rnacentral:rRNA from 1 species